CAAUAGCGUAUAUUAAAGUUGUUGCGGUUAAAAAGCUCGUAGUUGGAUUUCUGCCGAGGACGACCGGUCCGCCCUCUGGGUGAGUAUCUGGUUCGGCCUGGGCAUCUUCUUGGAGAACGUAUCUGCACUUGACUGUGUGGUGCGGUAUCCAGGACUUUUACUUUGAGGAAAUUAGAGUGUUUCAAGCAGGCACACGCCUUGAAUACAUUAGCAUGGAAUAAUAAGAUAGGACCUUGGUUCUAUUUUGUUGGUUUCUAGAGCUGAGGUAAUGAUUAAUAGGGACAGUUGGGGGUAUUCGUAUUCCAUUGUCAGAGGUGAAAUUCUCAGACCAAUGGAAGACGAACCACUGCGAAAGCAUUUGCCAGGGAUGUUUUCACUGAUCAAGAACGAAAGUUAGGGGAUCGAAGAUGAUUAGAUACCAU
rnacentral:rRNA from 1 species